UACAGAGGUCUCAAGCGUUGUUCGGAUUCAUUGGGCGUAAAGGGUGCGUAGGCGGCGCGGUAAGUCGGAUGUGAAAUCCCGGGGCUCAACCCUGGAACUGCAUUCGAUACUGCCUUGCUCGAGGACUCGAGAGGAGAUUGGAAUUCACGGUGUAGCAGUGAAAUGCGUAGAGAUCAUGAGGAAGACCAGUGGCGAAGGCGGGUCUCUGGACAGUUCCUGACACUGAGACACGAAGGCCAGGGGAGCAAACGGG
rnacentral:rRNA from 1 species